rnacentral:rRNA from 1 species
ACGUACGCUGGCGGCACGCCUAACACAUGCAAGUCGAACGAAGUAGCAAUACUUAGUGGCAGACGGGUGAGUAACAUGUAGGUAUCUGCCCUUUGGCCUGGAAUAACACGAGGAAACUUGUGCUAAUACCGGAUAAGUCUUUACGGAGAAAGCUUUAUGCACCAUUGGAUGAGCCUGCACUUGAUUAGUUUGUUGGUGGGGUAAUGGCCUACCAAGACUGUGAUCAAUAGCUGAUUUGAGAGGAUGAUCAGCCACAUUGGGACUGAGACACGGCCCAAACUCCUACGGGAGGCAGCAGUGGGGAAUCUUGCACAAUGGAGGAAACUCUGAUGCAGCGAUGCCGCGUGAGUGAAGAAGGCCCUUGGGUUGUAAAGCUCUUUCGUCGGGGAAGAAAAUGACUGUACCCGAAUAAGAAGGUCCGGCUAACUUCGUGCCAGCAGCCGCGGUAAUACGAAGGGACCUAGCGUAGUUCGGAAUUACUGGGCUUAAAGAGUUCGUAGGUGGUUGAAAAAGUUGGUGGUGAAAUCCCAGAGCUUAACUCUGGAACUGCCAUCAAAACUUUUCAGCUAGAGUAUGAUAGAGGAAAGCAGAAUUUCUAGUGUAGAGGUGAAAUUCGUAGAUAUUAGAAAGAAUACCAAUUGCGAAGGCAGCUUUCUGGAUCAUUACUGACACUGAGGAACGAAAGCAUGGGUAGCGAAGAGGAUUAGAUACCCUCGUAGUCCAUGCCGUAAACGAUGUGUGUUAGACGUUGGAAAUUUAUUUUCAGUGUCGCAGGGAAACCGAUAAACACACCGCCUGGGGAGUACGACCGCAAGGUUAAAACUCAAAUGAAUUGACGGGGACCCGCACAAGUAGUGGAGCAUGUGGUUUAAUUCGAAGAUACGCGCAGAACCUUACCAACACUUGACAUGUUCGUCGCGACUCUAAGAGAUUAGAGUUUUCGGUUCGGCCGGACGAAACACAGGUGCUGCAUGGCUGUCGUCAGCUCGUGUCGUGAGAUGUUGGGUUAAGUCCCGCAACGAGCGCAACCCUCACUUUUAGUUGCCAUCAUUAAGUUGGGCACUCUGAAAGAACUGCCAGUGAUAAGCUGGAGGAAGGUGGGGAUGACGUCAAGCCCUCAUGGCCCUUACGUGUUGGGCUACACACGUGCUACAAUGGUAUCUACAACAGGAAGCAAGACUGCGAAGUUAAGCAAAUCCCUAAAAGAUACCUCAGUUCGGAUUGCACUCUGCAACUCGAGUGCAUGAAGCUGGAAUUACUAGUAAUCGUGGAUCAGCGUGCCACGGUGAAUGCGUUCCCGGGUCUUGUACUCACCGC